rnacentral:piRNA from 1 species
UAAGUGUUGCUCCCCAACAAUAUAAGUGGU